rnacentral:rRNA from 1 species
AGAGUUUGAUCCUGGCUCAGGACGAACGCUGGCGGCGUGCUUAACACAUGCAAGUCGAGCGAUGAGAUCCCUUCGGGGAUCGAUUAGCGGCGAACGGGUGAGGAACACGUGAAGAAUCUGCCUUCAACUCUGGGAUAACUCCGGGAAACCGGGGCUAAUACCGGAUACGAGACCUGCAGGCAUCUGCGGGUCUGGAAAGUUUUUCGGUUGAAGAUGACCUCGCGGCCUAUCAGCUUGUUGGUGAGGUAAUGGCUCACCAAGGCGACGACGGGUAGCCGGCCUGAGAGGGCGACCGGCCACACUGGGACUGAGACACGGCCCAGACUCCUACGGGAGGCAGCAGUGGGGAAUAUUGGGCAAUGGAGGGAACUCUGACCCAGCGACGCCGCGUGCGGGAUGAAGGCCUUCGGGUUGUAAACCGCUUUCAGCAAGGAAGAAGCGAAAGUGACGGUACUUGCAGAAGAAGCACCGGCUAACUAUGUGCCAGCAGCCGCGGUAAUACAUAGGGUGCAAGCGUUGUCCGGAAUUAUUGGGCGUAAAGAGCUCGUAGGUGGUUCGUCACGUCGGAUGUGAAAAUCUGGGGCUUAACCCCAGACCUGCAUUCGAUACGGGCGAGCUAGAGUGUGGUAGGGGAGACUGGAAUUCCUGGUGUAGCGGUGGAAUGCGCAGAUAUCAGGAGGAACACCAAUGGCGAAGGCAGGUCUCUGGGCCAUUACUGACACUGAGGAGCGAAAGCGUGGGGAGCGAACAGGAUUAGAUACCCUGGUAGUCCACGCCGUAAACGGUGGGCACUAGUUGUGGGAACCUUCCACGGUUUCUGCGACGCAGCUAACGCAUUAAGUGCCCCGCCUGGGGAGUACGAUCGCAAGAUUAAAACUCAAAGGAAUUGACGGGGCCCCGCACAAGCAGCGGAGCAUGCGGCUUAAUU